GACAAUCCGUGGUGUCGUCAUGCUCGAGCUCUCCUCAUGUGAAAUUUUUGUGUCAACAUCAGAUUAAUUGAAAAUAAAACAGAUCAUGGCUCAUUUUUAUUCUCAGCUAUCUGUAAUCACCACAUAGCACAAAUUAAUAUCCUAGGCACAUAGGAGAAGAGGAACACUUAUUUGAAAACACAUGUGGGAUAUGAGACGUUAUUAUAGUUGAGUCAUAAUUCCAUCAAAGAUGGCCUGACCUCAAUUUAUGCUUCCUUUAGUCCUGCACCACAAUAGUAGUGUUAUACAUGAGAUGUUUUGGUUCAGUACUCCCUCC
rnacentral:lncRNA from 1 species